GCUGUGUAACUCAGCGGUUUUGCUGAUAAAUUAUUUUUAAUGACUAAAUUUAUCUAAAUUUAUUUAUAGCUAUGUCUAUCUGCAGCAACAACUUAUAAUUAACAUAGUGGAAUACCAUAUUUCCAUAGCACAUAAUUACUCGGAGUCAACAUUUAUAUAUUCAUUCUGUUUUUUUUUUUUUUUUAGACUAUAAGCUUCUGAAGGGCAGAGAAUAUCUCUGUAUCCCUUAGGGAAUAUUGGUUUGUAUCCUCAGUGCUUAUAGAUAGUAGCCUAUUUCUUUGUAUUAGCCUACCUUCUUUGACAAAGUUGGAGAAUAUUCCAAAGAAGAUAUAUAAAUGGCCAAUAAGCACAGGAUAAGAAGCCCAACAUCAUCAGCCUUUAGAAUCUAAAACUGAACGGGGACCUUGUGAACAUUCUAGUUUUUGUCUGUUGGAAGAAGAGUUAUAUGGGGA